CUCAGGUGGCUGCCAUUGCCAUUAUAAUAGAACAAGGGAGGCAUUCAUGAGCAUCUGACGGCACCUGCCAUCCAAAUCAGUAGCCAGUCAGGACUGUGGGUCCCAAGACAGCACAAGACCUCCAGAUCCACUUGAGAGGACUGGAAUUUGCUGGGGCCUGUCAGUCACAAAAUAGUGUUAGAUGGAGGAGGGAUGAUCUCCCGUCCACCUGCCACCCCAGCCUUCAACUGCUGUCUUCCGGCCGUCUUUACUCAGCAUUUAAGAAGUUGUUGGUGCAAACCUUGGUUGGGCCCAAAGGCUACAGCACAGCUAGAAGCUUGGGACAGGCAAGGCAGGAUGAACUGGCAGGCCAUAAUACUGAAGCCCACCUGAAAAUGAGCCCACAUCCUGGGCUGAUAUUUGAAAAACACUGAUUCAGAGCAUAUUGCUUCGCCAUCGUUUUUGCACACCUGGGCUGAGGGAACGUGCCUUCCAGAAAGGUUUUUGUCCUAGCACCUGAUUUUGUUACAAUCUCCAGAUGUUAGAAAAGCAGAUGCAGAAUUUUAUAUCCUUUCCUCCCUCCGUGUCUUUUUAAUGGACGUGUUUCAGUUCCCUGUGAUUUUCAAAUCAAAACAGUUCUCUGGCGCCUGUUGACCCCCUUUUCUGGUGUAUUUACAUACAUUGGC